CCCCUCUCAGGGUUGCACCUGGAGAGUUUCUAGUUCUCUACCAGUCUCGACUAGGGAGGGAGUGUCAAGCAGAGGCAUACCCAUUCCAUUCCUAGCUUGGGCAGUGGCUAGCGAGUGGAAGGCAGUCUACUACAAGU